GGUGGAGUUCCCGAGCGGCCAAAGGGAGCAGACUGUAAAUCUGCCGUCAUCGACUUCGAAGGUUCGAAUCCUUCCCCCACCACCA
rnacentral:tRNA from 7 species